rnacentral:rRNA from 1 species
CACACCGCCCGUCACAUCACGAAAGUCAGUUGUACCGGAAGCCGGUGCGCUAACCCUCGGGAGGCAGCCGUCCAUGGUAUGACUGGCGAUUGGGGUG